AAGUUCCGAGGUGUUUUACAUGUUGGGUUGCAAACCCAAAGUGGUAGGCUAAACGCCUACCGGGACUU
rnacentral:tRNA from 1 species